CCGAGUAACUGGGACUACAGGCGCCCCCACCAUGUCCAGCUAAUGUUUUUGUAUUUUUAGUAGAGACAGGGUUUCACCGUGUUAGCCAGGAUGGUCUCGAUCCCCUGAUCUCGUGAUCCGCCCGCCUCGGCCUCCCAAGGUGCUGAGAUUACAGGCGUGAGCCACCGUGCCUGGCCGAUGUCACCCACGUUUCUUAGGAAAGACGUUAGCAGUCUCUAAAUCCUCACCAACUGUGCCUGGCAGAGCAUUAUUUUGCAGCUUUCUGGGAUUUACAGUUGGCAUCAUUUGCACAGCGGCAGCGUGACGUGGCUGUGGAGAGCACGGAAGCCCUGUCCCCAGGGAAGUGGGCUCUUCUGGUUGCAACAUGGUGGAGGCCAGCCCGGCCGCAGGUGAGGGCAGGUGCCACAGCAAACCUCUGAGCAACCAAGAAGACAAGCACCUGCUUGGAAAAGGAGACAAGCCACAAGGCCAUGGGCCCAGUUAUAAGGAUGAAUUGUGUUACAGGAAUGGUUAUAAACCUGACCGACCUCAGAAGGUAUAUGGAGGAGGCAAUUUUCAAGCCCUCUGAUGGUCUGUGGUUGGAUGCGCCAUACUUUGCCAACGGUGUGAGCAUGGCAGAAAACGUAGUGGCUUUUUGAUGGCAGCAGCUGGACGCCUUCAUCCUGAUGGGUGUCUUCUUUUUUCCUGACUGGGGUAAGUUGAGGAGUCCUCAAUCCUUCAAGCCUUUCUUCAUGUUUUUCUAAGUUGGGCUUCCUAGAGUUCUCACUCUUGUGAGUAGGGGGAAACAUUGGCCUUUGGAUCUUGCAUGAGCCUUGACAGUUUUGGUUCCUGGGCUCCUUGUGCCCCAGGUUGCUCCUUCUGGCUGCCAUGAGGUCACGUAGCUCCUGGGAUGCCUGCAUGUUCCCGGUGGGCAUGCUCUGGAGAUGGCCCUGGGGCACUUGAGAAGCCAAAUUCUCUGAAGCAUGGGGCACAACAGAUGCUUGCCCAUCUGGAAGGAGCGCAACAGCGGCACAAACUUGAGGCUGGGUCUUUGACUUUGUGGCCUUUCCAGGCUCAAAUUCACUAACAACCUCCUCCAUAAGACGCAGCUUUCUUGGAUCUUGGGAGACAGACACUCCAGGGAGUAGAGAGCUUUUGCUGGUCCCUGGAGCCUCGAAACCAUGCACAUCCUCACUUGUGGCUUGGAGGUUUGCCAGCAUACAGGUUUCCAAGGGGACUCUGCAUUGUGGCACUGCCUCCCUUGUCUCUCCAGGCUUUGAAGAUUGGGCUCCUAAGCUCCUGCUCUGCUGUGUGCUGCCUGUGAAGCUGUAUGUGAGGGGCUUAGAUGGCCUCCUGCCCUCCUGUCCAGCUGGAGGAGCCUUCAAGGGCCCCUGAUCAUUCCAAGAUGGGAUUCCUCGCGGGGCCCUCUGGAACUGCUUACAUGCAGGUGAGGAGGCCAGAAGACUCUCUGGCAUGUGAACAGAUGCUUCGGUCAGCACCUGCUUUCUCAGACUUGCCAUUGGUGGCUUUCUAAGGAAUGUGGCCACCUCAACUUCUGAGCCAGCCCCAGAUUCACAGGUGGCUGAGGAGGGACCGGCAAGCUGUGUUAGGGACAAGGAUGAAACCUUUUCCAGUUUAAAGCACUGAAUGGGCUUGAGGACCCUGAGGGGUAGACCCCACCUGUGUUUGGCCCAAAACCUCACAAUAUGGGCUCCCAGCACCUGCUGAGUACACGGUUCGAGGAAGGAAAGCACCUUGGCCGUGUUCACACAGGCUUUCCCACUUUUCGGGGCCGCUAGAUUGCUGGUUUUCACGUGGGUGUCGGAAAUGGGAAAAGCCUGGUCGACAGCAAGCCAGGAUCGACGCACACUUACGGGGAUCAAGCCCUCGUUGGUCUGGCCCAACUUCCUGCCCAUGUGGGCUUUCAGGAUGUUUUCUAUAUGAGUCUUCUCUGUGCAUCUUAAUAAGUCACUUCCCAAGUUGCUCCUCAA
rnacentral:antisense_RNA from 1 species